rnacentral:rRNA from 1 species
CUACGGGGGGCUGCAGUGGGGAAUUUUGGACAAUGGGCGCAAGCCUGAUCCAGCCAUUCCGCGUGCAGGACGAAGGCCUUCGGGUUGUAAACUGCUUUUGUACGGAACGAAAAGGCUCUGGUUAAUACCUGGGGCUCAUGACGGUACCGUAAGAAUAAGCACCGGCUAACUACGUGCCAGCAGCCGCGGUAAUACGUAGGGUGCAAGCGUUAAUCGGAAUUACUGGGCGUAAAGCGUGCGCAGGCGGUGAUGUAAGACAGAUGUGAAAUCCCCGGGCUCAACCUGGGAACUGCAUUUGUGACUGCAUCGCUGGAGUGCGGCAGAGGGGGAUGGAAUUCCGCGUGUAGCAGUGAAAUGCGUAGAUAUGCGGAGGAACACCGAUGGCGAAGGCAAUCCCCUGGGCCUGCACUGACGCUCAUGCACGAAAGCGUGGGGAGCAAACAGGAUUAGAUACCCUAGUAGUC